GGGUAGACGCCGGUCUGAACGGGUAUCAUUGAUGUUGAUAAGCAUGGGGUUAGCCCCUCUACCUU
rnacentral:tRNA from 1 species